GGCAGGAUAAUUUGACGGAUCCAAAUUGGCAUCCAUUUAAAGUUGUUACUAUCGAUGGGGAUUCCCAGGAGAAUAUUGAUGAGGACGAUGAGAAGCUGAAAGGUCUCAAGCAGGAGUGGGGUGAUGAGAUAUACAAUGCCGUUGUUACUGCCCUUAAAGAAAUGAAUGAAUAUAAUCCAAGUGGUCGUUAUUCUGUUCCUGAGCUAUGGAACUUUAAGGAUGGAAGGAAAGCUACUCUGAAGGAGGUCAUCAACUAUAUUGUUAAGAGCAUCAAGUCACUAAAACGAAAGAGAACAUGAGAAGAUCCGAGAAGGGGAAAAGAACACGAGAAGAAGGUGAAGGAUUCG
rnacentral:misc_RNA from 1 species